GAUGAACGCUGGCGGCGUGCCUAAUACAUGCAAGUCGAGCGAACGGACGAGAAGCUUGCUUCUCUGAUGUUAGCGGCGGACGGGUGAGUAACACGUGGGUAACCUACCUAUAAGACUGGGAUAACUUCGGGAAACCGUAGCUAAUACCGGAUAAUAUUUUGAACCGCAUGGUUCAAAAGUGAAAGACGGUCUUGCUGUCACUUAUAGAUGGAUCCGCGCUGCAUUAGCUAGUUGGUAAGGUAACGGCUUACCAAGGCAACGAUGCAUAGCCGACCUGAGAGGGUGAUCGGCCACACUGGAACUGAGACACGGUCCAGACUCCUACGGGAGGCAGCAGUAGGGAAUCUUCCGCAAUGGGCGAAAGCCUGACGGAGCAACGCCGCGUGAGUGAUGAAGGUCUUCGGAUCGUAAAACUCUGUUAUUAGGGAAGAACAUAUGUGUAAGUAACUGUGCACAUCUUGACGGUACCUAAUCAGAAAGCCACGGCUAACUACGUGCCAGCAGCCGCGGUAAUACGUAGGUGGCAAGCGUUAUCCGGAAUUAUUGGGCGUAAAGCGCGCGUAGGCGGUUUUUUAAGUCUGAUGUGAAAGCCCACGGCUCAACCGUGGAGGGUCAUUGGAAACUGGAAAACUUGAGUGCAGAAGAGGAAAGUGGAAUUCCAUGUGUAGCGGUGAAAUGCGCAGAGAUAUGGAGGAACACCAGUGGCGAAGGCGACUUUCUGGUCUGUAACUGACGCUGAUGUGCGAAAGCGUGGGGAUCAAACAGGAUUAGAUACCCUGGUAGUCCACGCCGUAAACGAUGAGUGCUAAGUGUUAGGGGGUUUCCGCCCCUUAGUGCUGCAGCUAACGCAUUAAGCACUCCGCCUGGGGAGUACGACCGCAAGGUUGAAACUCAAAGGAAUUGACGGGGACCCGCACAAGCGGUGGAGCAUGUGGUUUAAUUCGAAGCAACGCGAAGAACCUUACCAAAUCUUGACAUCCUUUGACAACUCUAGAGAUAGAGCCUUCCCCUUCGGGGGACAAAGUGACAGGUGGUGCAUGGUUGCCGUCAGCUCGUGUCGUGAGAUGUUGGGUUAAGUCCCGCAACGAGCGCAACCCUUAAGCUUAGUUGCCAUCAUUAAGUUGGGCACUCUAAGUUGACUGCCGGUGACAAACCGGAGGAAGGUGGGGAUGACGUCAAAUCAUCAUGCCCCUUAUGAUUUGGGCUACACACGUGCUACAAUGGACAAUACAAAGGGCAGCGAAACCGCGAGGUCAAGCAAAUCCCAUAAAGUUGUUCUCAGUUCGGAUUGUAGUCUGCAGCUCGACUACAUGAAGCUGGAAUCGCUAGUAAUCGUAGAUCAGCAUGCUACGGUGAAUACGUUCCCGGGUCU
rnacentral:rRNA from 1 species